ensembl:lncRNA
CUGGGAUUCUCCAGGCAAGAACACUGGAGUGGGUUGCCAUUUCCUUCUCCAAUGCAUAAAAGUGAAAAGUGAAAGUGAAGUUGCUCAGUCAUGCCCGACUCCUAGCGACCCCAUGGACUGCAGCCUACCAGGCUCCUCUGCCCAUGGGGUUUUCCAGGCAAGAAUACUGGAGUGGGUUGCCAUUGCCUUCUCCGAGGUUAGGGACAAGUUACAGGGAGCCUAACACCUGACUUGGCCACUAGUGCCUCCUAAUGACAAUCCAGAUGCACAAAAGCCACAGUUUGAUGGCAGAAUGAGGACCAGGACCAGCAAGAGGGGAACUCCCAGUAAUGUGUCCACUGGUGAGUCAGAGGCAUCCGCAUUACCUUGAGAUGAAGUGGAAUUGUUACAGCAGUAAUGAAAAUAGCAAGAAGAAACUUUUCAGACUUUCUGACUCAUUUCUGAGAAUCAAAAUGAAAUGUCUGAGGAAAGGAGAACACUGAAUUUAUACCAUGACCAGAGCAUGAAGAGUACACAGGGAGGUAGUGACUCCCCUUUCUCAAGUGGAGUCAAGAUGGGGUAUAAUGCUUUUGGGGAAGCAGUUUUUCCAUGGUUGUCUUUUCUGCAAAAGCUUUUCACUGCUUUCACUCUGGGCUAUCUUUUCAAGGAUGUCUGGAGAACAAACAGCCUUGAAAGACAGAAAUACUGUCUCCCUCUGGGGCAGAGGACAGAUUUAUUUCCUGACCAGUAUAAUAAAGAUGUUUCCCUCUGGGACAAAGGUUGGGCAUGUUUGGGCACGUAGCCCCCUUAUAAGAGUGAGGAUUUCCUAAGUUUGGGGUUCCUUGGCUGUGGCACAAAUCAACUCAUACCCAGUGAAUACCUGGACCCACCCCCACAGGGCCCCCGUGAUACUUGGGGGACAAGGAGAACCAAUCUGAGUGUAAAACUCAAGCUGCUUCCUGAGCCAUGAAUAAUAAAAUCUGUUGCCUCAGACCCAGGGAUCUCAGGGUCCACCAAGAUGUGUGAAAUUAUAGCAGCUACUGUGUAGCUUGCAAAUUGGACAAAAUCUUGCACCCUUAAUAGUUCUUGACCACACUAGACCUGGGACAGGGGCCAACAGGCCAUGUCCUGGGGACAGGGAAUGGGAUGCUCAUCAAAGAGGAGCAGAGUCAGUGUUGAGAGGCUGUUAGGGACCUAAGAAAGAAGGACUACAGACCCCUUGGGAGCCUAGAUCACCUGCAGAACACUUAGUAUUUUCAUUGCAGGAAACAGUACUCUUCUGCUGAUGACAAAAUCAGUGAACAAAAUCACUUCCCCAGUGACCUUUUAGAAA